GAGACACCUCGUUCGGUGAGGCGUCUUCACGGACACAGGCCACUGAUCCCAACCGUCGAGAGACGCUCCGGAUCAGGACACCUCUUCCCGACCUAAGGGUUGAGGCCAAGUGGCUGCACGCGAGUGCUACGCCGUGGAGUGCCAAAGCUCUGACGAGUUGGGGUGUACC
rnacentral:sRNA from 1 species